AUGUGUGAAGAAAGUCAAAUGAAUUGGGACCCUGUGCUGAGCUGUAGGAAAUCUUUGUUCAGGACCCUGGUGACAUUUGGGUCCUUUAGGGCCGGCGUGUCCCCGAGCUGCUGUCCGGCCCUGGUCUCCGCAGGUCCUCUACUGCCGGCGGGGUGGCCUCUUCUUGGGUGGCGAAGGACCCUGGGAGGAGCUGUUCUUCCUCUUGGGGACUCGCCGGGGCCCCCCAGGUUGGCACCCCGUGCCCCGCCUGGCGCUGGAGGGACCUGGUGCAGCCUCCUAUGGCUCCUCUGGAGGCGCUGCCUGUUCCAUGGGGACCGCAGCAGAGAUGGAGUGAGGGUGGCUGGGAGUCCCUCGCAGGCUGUCCCUGGAACUUGCAGGCACCUCAUCCCCGCUGGAGCUGGCGGGCUGUGGAGAGGGGCCUGGAACGGGUGGAGGAGCCACCCCUCCGUGUCCGGAUGGUCCGGGUGCGGGGCUGACCUCCCGCUGCUGGGCUGCAGGUGGAGCGUUCAGUCGCAGCAGGCGGUGGGCCUCCCUGCUGCACCGUUGCGCGGCGACUUCCAGGAGCUGACUGACAAAUGUCGCCGCGUGGUGGCCGAGGUCGAGCUCCAUCAGCUGGACUAGGAGGUCUUCCUCAAGGCCAAAGAGGCGCAGGCUCUCCAUGACGGCGUUCUCCAAGAUGAGCGCCUCCAAACGCUGUGCCCCGAAGACGCGCCCCAGCUCCCGGCGCACCCAGGAGAGCAGGGGCUGGAGGAGAGCAGGGUGCUUCCGGAAGAGUUGUCCCCAGGUGUCCGCGGGGAGGCCGCCAGCGAAGGUGAUGGGAGCCCAGACAGGCGGCCUGUUGGCAGAUGCCACUGCCGAUGGGCUGAUGACGAGCUCCUCGAACUGAUCAUCAGCCUGCACCGAGUGCACUAGAGAUGUAAUUCUCCUCUUGCAGAGGGGGCACUCGGGCUUGCUGUCUGCCACCGCCAGAUGCACGGAUAGCAGAACUGGUGGCAGCACGGCAUGGUGAACGCGGCGCUGCCCCAGGUGUCCAGACAUAUUGGGCAGCGGGUGUCCAGUGCCGCGGCCAUGCUUGCCACUGGUGGGCUGGGAGGAACAGCAGGUGACAAUCUCCUCCCAGGCACAGGAGCUGCAGCGGCGGGUGUCACUCUGGAAGAGGAAGAGAGGGGUCACAGUAAAUCUCUGGGGUGGGGAGGGUCCCUCAAGGAGGAACCUCAUGCUGCCUGUGCAAGGUGUCCCCAUGCAACUCACCUCUGCUGCUGCAGGUGCUCCUGCUGGAUGUCCCAGCUGCCUGUUGGGAACAGGGCUGGGAGAAAAGCAGAAGUGGCUCUGGAGACGUGAGCACCUUCCAGAACCAAGGCUUGCCUUGUUCCUCGCUCCAGUCCUCGCAAAGACGCUCGGAUAGAGGGGAGGCACAAACUGCUGGGCUGAGCCGCUGUGCCCAGAUUUAAGCCGUGAGGGCCACGCAAUCAUAAAGCAUCACCUGGAGACAUCGCAGCGCUUCAGCAAGAUGUCACAGACAGCCGCCAGGCACAUGGCCACCCCCCAGUAGGGGACAUCACUGGGAACAUCACAAUGGGCCAUCCUCACCUGCAGCACGUUCUCCAGCAGCUCUCCGGCCCCUGCACAUAUUUCUGGGCUCCCCCAGCACCACUAGGAGGGCUUGCAUAGGCUGCAAUUAAAGGACAAUAAAAGCCGUGACUGUUCCA
rnacentral:lncRNA from 1 species